rnacentral:rRNA from 1 species
AAUCAACGCUGGCGGCGUGCCUCAGACAUGCAAGUCGAACGCGAAAGGUUCCUUCGGGGACCGAGUAGAGUGGCGCACGGGUGAGUAACACGUAGGUAAUUUGCCUUUGGGUGGGGAACAACUCAGGGAAACUUGAGCUAAUACCGCAUAAUGCAGCGGCUCGACAUCGAGACAGUUGUUAAAGCGGGGGAUUCGCAAGAACCUCGCGCCUAAAGAGAAGCCUGCGGCAGAUAGCUAGUUGGUAAGGUAAUGGCUUACCAAGGCGACGAUCUGUAACCGGCCUGAGAGGGCGGUCGGUCACACUGACACUGACAUACGGGUCAGACUCCUACGGGAGGCAGCAGUCGGG